UUAGGCAUCAUCCUCGGUGGAUGCGCGGUACGGUGCCACUUACCACAGAUGGCGGUGUAAAUAUCCUUCCAAUGACACCCAAUGGGAUGAGACUCUAUACAUGAACCAUCAACCAUUCAGAAUGUAACUGCAUUGAGUUGAGAGCUAAUGGCCCCAUCGUAUAUUAAAUACCAUCUUCUCUCCUUCAUUAACAGAACAAGCCGUUCUGAGAAAUGACAGCAUCAGGCGAACCAGUGAAAUGCUGAGGUUCUUCUGUCUACAGUGUUCUUGCUAUUGCUACGCUGUCGUUCCUGUCUUUACUAUUUUUUUUUCGCUGUGGUGGUAGUCCUUGUCACUGAAAUUGCCGUCGCAGGGCUACGCAAGACGUGGAGGACAUCAACGGUUUGACCCUUGAAGAGAUAAAUUUUGCUGAAUUCGAUAUUUAAAACUUACACUUCCCGUUUUGUUGACUUGCUAAGAACUGGAUUAGGCUAUUUCAAUGGAUGGCACGAAAUGCCGUUUCAACGGUAAAUUGUUGGCGGUCGGAUGAACGGUAAACACGGCGUGUCCCGAUCAGAUUCGAGACAGUCGCCUGGAGUUAGAGAAGACAAAUUAAAUCACAGACAAAUCUGUAGCACAAGAGAAGGCACUUUCAGGAAAAUCCCAAAACAACGCAACAACCGUCAAUUUUGGGCUGCGGAGAAUCUCCUCGUGGUCUAGCUUUACGGUGAUCGUGUUCUCGGAGGUGGGUGCUUACACAGGACAAGUUUGAGAGACGACUAUGUUGCCAUAGUCCGACUAACUUCGAUCUAAUAGUUAAUCGACAAUUCAAAACCAGGCGUGGGGGCACUAUGAGACUUUUGGGCGGUAGCCCUCUUGCAGGGCUUGUUCCUUUAAGGAGGAUCGAGAGAUCUCGAACGCAUGGACACCAGCAAGAGAUACAACCAUUGGCUGGAUAACAAGAUUGGUGCCAGCGUGGCACUGUUGCACAUGCGCAUUUUAUAAGGAGCUAUAAAACCGUGUUUGAACUGUAGUUUGCCCUCGAACUUUCCUUGGAUAGCACAGCAUACGCGCCCUCUAUCGAAAGACCCAUCUCCACAGCUAUUAUACGUUUUUCAUCUGUGAGAUUGAGCAUGGAUAAUAAUUCCCUGCUCGACCGCUGCCUCUCUUUACGACUGUAAUUUAUCCUUCAAGAGAGCAUUAUGCGUCACCUGAGACUCAUCUCGAAAAACGAAACGCGAAGAGGACAUUGUAUAUAGAGUCAUUCGGUGGAAGGGAACAUUCAAAGAUGGAGGUUGUAAAAAUCCGAGGGAAACCCACGAUUUUCAUGAUUCUCGUAGGCUAAUUACCUAUUUUCGUGUUGUUGUCUACUCGUCACAGGCAAAUUACCCAGGCUAACGCGCUAUGAGGCAUCUGUAGCACGGACUCUCAUCGGUAUGCUUCCUUCAUACCCGCUGAUGGAGUCACGUAUUGAGUUAAUGGCGGUCCUUGAAAGGAUACUUUUACUCAGGGUAACAGGGUCAGCACUGUUAGAGGAAAGAUGCCGAUCAAGGCACUCAGAUUAAACAAGUUAACAAGGGCAGGCUUAGAACCGAAGUUCGGGGAGACCAAACCUGGUUUGGGGAGGGCAAGAAAAGUGGUUCAUGGCGUAACCUUUUAUGGCCUUUGUAGGGUUUGGGGCUACAUUUGGGAGCUUUUCACACUUUUGGACGAAUGGGAAAUGAUACAGACAAAAAAACUCCUUGCUCUCAUUUUUAACCACCCCCCCAUCCGCCAUGUAGGUUUUCAGUUCUCAAGGGUGCGUCAUUCUGAAUCAUCUUUUCUGAACAGCAGUAUAUAAAAAAUACGUCCAGUCGAACAUUUCCUGCCUUUUCACUGCCAUCUUAAAAGUGUUUUAAGGUCAUGAGUUGAGACUGAGGCAAAUGUGACAGAGACGUUCUGAACGUUGCCCCUUACGUCGAAAACACAACAAAGGGAGGGUGUCAGGAUACGGUGCAGACACGAGGAAUUACUUUUUAAAACUGUUAUAAGAGAUUUUCCUGUUAUCUCCCCUGAUGGAUAUCUAAAUAUCGCCACAUAAUGGCCCACUUUAGAACCUUGUGACAUGUGGCUAAGAAUUUGAGACGAACACUCCGAUAAAUUGCAUGUACUUUUCCACGCAGUUUCACCCUCUUAACGAUAAUUAUGUUAAAAAGCUGCAAACGUAUGUAAAUUAAAAAAU